UAAGAAGGCAACCAAGUUUCCGGAGUACGUUGCUAUGACGACCAUGACGAAAAGCCACCAGGUUCCCACAAGUAGGCGAGCACUAUCUGCAGAAGGUAGCAUCAUCCCACCUGAAAGAGAAAGUUCCUUAUGAUAAGGAACGCCUGUACAAUGAUAAUCAAUAAUGUUCUGCUUCGAAGAAUGAGAAGGUCGUAUACCUUGCUGAAGAAGGGCACCGUAGACAUACCACGUACAUUUCCAAGGUGAAUUCAAGCCUGAAGCCACAUGCACAUUCAUAUGGCAAGGACUGAACUUGUGCACAAGAAUCUUCAAACCUCCUUGGUAUAUGGGGACAUGAAGAGCAAUGCCCUGGACAACUGUCUUGGUCUGGAAGCUAGAAGACUGUACGUCUGGAUAGAUACAGGUAUUGUAAAGUUGACGAGAGUCUUCCGGUAUUCGCUAAU